rnacentral:rRNA from 1 species
UACGUAUGGGGCAAGCGUUGUUCGGAGUUAUUGGGCGUAAAGGGCGUGUAGGCGGCCCGACAAGUCUGGUGUGAAAUCGCAGGGCUCAACCCUGCGGGUGCGCUGGAAACUGUGGGGCUGGAGUCCCGGGGGGGAAGCUGGAAUUCCUGGUGUAGGAGUGAAAUCUGUAGAGAUCAGGAAGAACACCGGUGGCGAAGGCGAGCUUCUAUUCGAGGACUGACGCUGAGGCGCGAAAGCGUGGGGAGCAAACAGG